rnacentral:piRNA from 1 species
AUGGAUGAGAAAUGCGGAUAUGGGA